GACGAACGCUGGCGGCGUGCCUAAUACAUGCAAGUCGAGCGAAGCGGCGGAUGGGUGAGUAACGCGUGGGCUACCCACCCUUAAGUCUGGGAUAUUAUUUGGAAACAGUUGCAAAUAACGGAUAUUAAAGUAUGGACCUGCGAUGCAUUAGCUAGUUGGUAAGGUAAUGGCUUACCAAGGCGAUGAUGCAUAGCCGAGUUGAGAGACUGAUCGGCCACAUUGGGACUGAGACACGGCCCAAACUCCUACGGGAGGCAGCAGUAGGGAAUCUUCCACAAUGGACGAAAGUCUGAUGGAGCAACGCCGCGUGAGUGAAGAAGGUUUUCGGAUCGUAAAGCUCUGUUGUUGGUGAAGCGGUAAUCAACCAGAAAGCCACGGCUAACUACGUGCCAGCAGCCGCGGUAAUUC
rnacentral:rRNA from 1 species